GUGAGGAAUAUUGGACAAUGGGCGCAAGCCUGAUCCAGCCAUGCCGCGUGCAGGAAGACGCAUCUAUGGUGUGUAAACUGCUUUUGUACGGGAAGAAACACUCCCUCGUGAGGGAGCUUGACGGUACCGUAAGAAUAAGGAUCGGCUAACUCCGUGCCAGCAGCCGCGGUAAUACGGAGGAUCCAAGCGUUAUCCGGAAUCAUUGGGUUUAAAGGGUCCGUAGGCGGUUUAAUAAGUCAGUGGUGAAAGUCCAUCGCUCAACGAUGGAACGGCCAUUGAUACUGUUAGACUUGAAUUACAAGGAAGUAACUAGAAUAUGUAGUGUAGCGGUGAAAUGCUUAGAUAUUACAUGGAAUACCAAUUGCGAAGGCAGGUUACUACUUGUGGAUUGACGCUGAUGGACGAAAGCGUGGGGAGCGAACAGGAUUAGAUACCCUAGUAGUCC
rnacentral:rRNA from 1 species